rnacentral:rRNA from 1 species
GAGUUUGAUCAUGGCUCAGGAUGAACGCUGGCGGCGUGCCUAACACAUGCAAGUCGAGCGAAGCACUUUGCUUUGAAUCUUUCGGGAGGACGAGUGAUUUGACUGAGCGGCGGACGGGUGAGUAACGCGUGGGUAACCUGCCUCACACAGGGGGAUAACAGUUAGAAAUGACUGCUAAUACCGCAUAAGACCACGGUGUCGCAUGACACAGUGGUAAAAACUCCGGUGGUGUGAGAUGGACCCGCGUCUGAUUAGGUAGUUGGUGAGGUAACGGCUCACCAAGCCGACGAUCAGUAGCCGGCCUGAGAGGGUGGACGGCCACA